rnacentral:rRNA from 1 species
GACGAACGCUGGCGGCGUGCUUAACACAUGCAAGACGAGCGAUGAAGCACCUUCGGGUGUGAAUUAGCGGCGAACGGGUGAGGAACACGUGAGAAAUCUGCCUUCAACACUGGGAUAACUCCGGGGAACCGGGGCCAAUACCGGAUAUGAAACCUGCGGGCAUCCGCGGGUUUGGAAAGUUUUUCGGUUGAAGAUGAUCUCGCGGCCUAUCAGCUUGUUGGUGGGGUAAUGGCUCACCAAGGCGACGACGGGUAGCCGGCCUGAGAGGGCGACCGGCCACACUGGGACUGGGACACGGCCCAGACUCCUACGGGAGGCAGCAGUGGGGAAUAUUGGGCAAUGGAGGAAACUCUGACCCAGCGACGCCGCGUGCGGGGUGAAGGCCUUCGGGUUGUAAACCGCUUUCAGCAGGGAAGAAGCGAAAGUGACGGUACCUGCAGAAGAAGCACCGGCUAACUAUGUGCCAGCCGCCGCAGUAA